UUUCCGUAGGUGAACCUGCGGAAGGAUCAUUCAUAAUAAGUGUUUAAUGGCACUUUUUUAAAUCCAUAUCCACCUUGUGUGCAAUGUCAGGGUUGACUUUUCUCUCGAGAGGAUCAACCCCAAACAUCAACUAUAUCUCAACUCUUUGUCUGAAAAAUAUUAUGAAUAAAACAAUUCAAAAUACAACUUUCAACAACGGAUCUCUUGGCUCUC
rnacentral:misc_RNA from 1 species